rnacentral:rRNA from 1 species
CCUACGGGGGGCAGCAGUGGGGAAUAUUGGACAAUGGGGGCAACCCUGAUCCAGCCAUGCCGCGUGUGUGAAGAAGGCCCUCGGGUUGUAAAGCACUUUCAGUGAGGAAGAACGCCUGGUGGUUAAUACCCAUCAGGAAAGACAUCACUCACAGAAGAAGCACCGGCUAACUCCGUGCCAGCAGCCGCGGUAAUACGGAGGGUGCGAGCGUUAAUCGGAAUUACUGGGCGUAAAGCGCGCGUAGGUGGCUUGAUAAGCCGGUUGUGAAAGCCCCGGGCUCAACCUGGGAAUGGCAUCCGGAACUGUCAAGCUAGAGUGCAGGAGAGGAAGGUAGAAUUCCCGGUGUAGCGGUGAAAUGCGUAGAGAUCGGGAGGAAUACCAGUGGCGAAGGCGGCCUUCUGGACUGACACUGACACUGAGGUGCGAAAGCGUGGGUAGCAAACAGGAUUAGAUACCCUGGUAGUC